CCCCCCCCCACAAGAGACGGGCCCGGCGCUGAGUUGGGGGGGAGCCCGGGUGGGGCUGCCGCCUCCUUGCACCGCGCCCCGGGAGGUUGGUUCACCUGUCCGACUCGUUCCUCUUCUCCGAGCUCCCUCGCCCUCCUGCCUUUGCACCGCCCGGGGCAACGGCGCGGGGUGCGCGGGCUGUUUUAUUGCAUUUAUUUAUUUAUUUAUCCCUCCCGGAGCCAGUGCGAGUUUUAUGUUUUAAUAACUUUAUCAACUCGGCGAACUUGCGCGAGGGCACAGGCAGCUUCUCUUGCCCUCCCUCCUCCUCCCCUCCCCCCGCCCCCACCAAUCUCUAACUGGCCUCUGGGUCCCUUCCAAAAGGGGCUUCCUUCCAGUUCUCCUUCUUACGGCUUCACCACUGGUGUGGUCAACACAGCAGGCAAAAUUAACCCGACUAAAGUGUUUGAUCUACAGAUAAGAUACUCCUAUGCAUUUUGCAAGUUCAGUUUAGGAUGACCUGCACUGAUACCUGUUUUCACUAACUGGAAGAGAUCUGAAGAGGACUUUUGCUCUUAGGAGGACAGACCUUCAUCAAAGCUGCUGCAGGUCCAUCAGCUUCGUUCCCCUGGAACUAAAGAGCCUUGUAAGAACUUCACGAGGACCAUUCAUCCAGGGAGUCCUCAACCUCAGUUCUCACAGACAGAAGAUGGAGAUCUGAGAGGCUUACAGGAGAAAAAGUUAAGGAGCCCGUCAAGAAGAGGAUGGACAGACCAAAGAAAACAGCCCACGGCAGCAGACACCUGAGAUACAGGGGAGGGACAAAGAAGACGGGACAGAGGAGGCAGAGGAGCAAGCCAUGAAGUGCAGCAGCCUCUAGCAACCGGAUAAAGGAGGACUGGGUUCUCCCCAGGUGCCCUUGGAACCCACACAGCCCGGCCAGCACCUUGAUUUUAGCCCCCCACCCCUGCCCCACUGAG
ensembl:lncRNA